CAGGACUGAGCCUUCUUUGGUAUUUAAAAGGUGGAUUUUCCUCCUAUGAUUAUGCAUUGGCUGGUUAAUCAUACGGGAAAAUCCACGUUUUCAGUACCAAAUGCUGCCGGGGAAGGAC
rnacentral:pre_miRNA from 13 species